UGAGGGGGCGGCUGAGGGGGCGGCGGGAGCGCGGGGUCUGCCGAAGGUCGGAUGCUUCGCCUUCAGUCCCUGCGUUACACUGACCCCCCCCGGCCAAGUCCUCCUUGACUUGUGCCUAAAAUGUCUAAAUGAGGGAGAUCUCCGUGUGAUGGGAGCCGCGGGAAGUCCGGAGGAGGCGAGUACCUGUCCCUCGAAAGCUUCAGCAGAGCGUCCAGAGCCUCCCCGGUGCUCCUGGAAGGGCUCUGUCUUUGCUACCUCCGAAAACUGCUCCAGUAUUAGUAGCUCCUCAGGCUCCAGCAACUGGAAUUUCUCUUGUUCAGAGUAGCCAAAGAAUGACAUCAGCGAGGAUGAAACAGACCUGGAGGUUAGAGAGGUACCUGGUCUCAGGCAGUGCUGUUUGUCAUUGCACGCUGGAAUUGGAUCUACCUUCCCCCGCCAGCCUCAGGCUACUCACUUGCUCCAGAAUCCCCCAGGUUCGGGAGGGAAGCACAGCUCCUCUCUGGCUUGGCCUUGGACUGAAUCACACGGAUAGUUUAACUUAGCCCUGUCUCGGGAAGCAGUGAGCGUGCAUGUUACAUAACAUAAUCUUCAUGUCUUGAGGAUUCAGGCCUGUCCUCUUUUGUGCUGCCAGAUGGGAGAGGAGCCACGCUCUCUCUGGAGAGAUGUCCCUGCACAUCUCGCUGCUCAGCUGUGCUGGAAUUAAUGUGCUUCUCUCUGCAGCGGGGCACUGUUGUUCCCUGGCAUUUGGCUCC
rnacentral:lncRNA from 1 species